UCUUCCUCCCAGAGCUUGAGAAAGAGAACUGUCAUUAUCUAGGAGAAGUUGUAGAUCUCUGAGGAUGCGUUGAACUGUUUUAACUUGGGAGCUGUAUGUGAUUACUAGUGGUGUUCUGUUAUUUUCUUUUUUGGGUCUGUCUUGCAGCAAGUUCUCUCUAGGUAUCAGUCUGGCUCUGUUGAUCUGUUGCUUAGCUUCACCAGGCGGAUAUUUUAGUUCUAAAAAUGUUAGUUCUAUCAUUCUAAGACAGCAUGACAUCACAGUAGCAAGUACCACUCCCUAUGACAUCACGUGGAGCAUUUCUCUGCAUCUACCGCAGCAAGUCAAUGAUGGCAGCUCAACUUUCUAUAUAUUCUGUGCACUGGGUGUACAUGUUGAGUAAAUUCACAGAAGAUAUACGAUAGAUCUUGUAUGGUGUUUUUGCACACCACAGGGGCAAAGGACACUGAGACCAAACCUUUGCUGGUGGGAGCAAUUAUUAUAACUCAAUGUCAGAAAACAAAGAAUUCUUGUGUUGGACUGGCUUUUCUGUACAGCAGGUCUGUUUACAAUAUGUUAUUUUGUACAUCUUUACCUUCAUAUGGUUUAAAUUUGCUCAUGUGGAAAUGCAAAGUGACAUACCAAAAGUUUACCUACAUCUCAGAGUCCCUUAUCACCUGCCCUGGCUCAUCCAAAGGAAGCAGAAAAUGAAGAGCAUGAGAUGUCCCCAAAUUCUGCUACCCCCUAAAAUGGGAGCAAACUUACACACGCAACUGCAUUGGGCUAGAAAUAUACCAGUAUCAGUUCCAUCUAUGACCUACUUCCAAAAGCUUAUGAGAUACACAAACACCUACCCAAACCCUCCCA